rnacentral:rRNA from 1 species
CACCAAGGGGACGAUCCGUAACUGUUGAGAGGAUGAUCAGUCCCUGGAAUGAGACACGGUCCAGAUCUACGGGGCAGCAGUGGGGAAUAUUGGACAAUGGGCGAAAGCCUGAUCCAACCAUGCCGCGUGUGUGAAGAAGGUCUUCGGAUUGUAAAGCACUUUAAGUUGGGAGGAAGGGUUGUAGAUUAAUACUCUGCAAUUUUGACGUUACCGACAGAAUAAGCACCGGCUAACUCUGUGCCAGCAGCCGCGGUAAUACAGAGGGUGCAAGCGUUAAUCGGAAUUACUGGGCGUAAAGCGCGCGUAGGUGGUUUGUUAAGUUGGAUGUGAAAUCCCCGGGCUCAACCUGGGAACUGCAUUCAAAACUGACUGACUAGAGUAUGGUAGAGGGUGGGGGAAUUUCCUGGGUAGCGGUGAAAUGCGUAGAUAUAGGAAGGAACACCAGUGGCGAAGGCGACCACCUGGACUAAUACUGACACUGAGGUGCGAAAGCGUGGGGAGCAAACAGGAUUAGAUACCCUGGUAGUCCACGCCGUAAACGAUGUCAACUAGCCGUUGGAAGCCUUGAGCUUUUAGUGGCGCAGCUAACGCAUUAAGUUGACCGCCUGGGGGAGUACGGCCGCAAGGUUAAAACUCAAAUGAAUUUGACGGGGGCCCGCACAAGCGGUGGAGCCAUGGGGUUUAAUUCGAAGCAACGCGAAGAACCUUACCAGGCCUUGACAUCCAAUGAACUUUCUAGAAGAUAAGAUUGGGGCCUUCGGGAACAUUGAGACAGGUGCUUGCAUGGCUGUCGUCAGCUCUGUCGUGGAGAAGUUGUGGUUAAUCCCCGUAACCACGCAACCCCUUGUCCUUUAUUACCACACCGUAAUGGGGGCCUAAAGGACGCCGGGAAACCGAGAAGGGGGGG